CACCAAUCACUCCUUUUUCCUCCUGCACCCACCCUCCUAUAACCACAAACUUCUGCCCCACAUUCUAAUACUGCAUUUUUAAAACUAGUCCAACCCUCUUCAACCCCCCCACUACUCAUACUUGCACCAGCCCACCUUUCUGCCAAUAGUUGCUUAUAUCUCACCCAAACUUCCUCCUCUCUUAGUUUAUACACUUUCACCUCCCUCUUACUUAUUGUUGCCAUUUUCCUCCUGUCCCAUCUGCCUCUUACUCUAACUGUAGCUACAACUAAAUAAUGAUCCGAUAUAUCAGUUGCCUCUCUAUAAAUGUGUACAUCCUGGAGCCUACACAUCAACCUUUUAUCCACCAAUACAUAAUCUAACAAACUACUUUCAUUACAUGCUAUAUCAUACCUUGUAUAUUUAUUUAUCCUCUUUUCAUAAAAUAUGUAUUACUUAUUACCAAACCUCUUUCUACAUAUAGCUCAAUUAAAGGCUCCCCAGUUUCAUUUACCCCUGGCACCCCAAAUUUACCUACUACUCCCUCCACAUUUUUACCCACUUUAGCAUUGAAAUCCCCAACCACAAGUACUCUCACACUUGGUUCAAAACUCCCCACACAUUCACUCAACAUUUCCCAAAAUCUCUCUCUCUCCUCUACAUUUCUCUCUUCUCCAGGUGCAUAUACGCUUACUAUAACCCACUUUUCACAUCCAACCUUUAUUUUACUCCACAGUCCUUGAAUUAACACAUUUAUAGUCCCUCUUUUCCUGCCAUAGCUUAUCCUUCAACAUUAUUGCUACUCCUUCUUUAGCUCUAACUCUAUUCGAAACCCCUGGCCUAAUCCCAUUUAUUCCUCUCCACUGAAACUCUCCCACCCCCUAUGUUGUGCCGAAUAGGUAAAACUUGCAAUUUUGGCUUAAAUAGCAAUGCUCUUCUUGCCAAAUAAGGCAAGAGGGUAAAGUGGACUUUCUGUAGGGAGUAGGCUGGUGGGGUGUUGCCAGGCUGCCACCCCUAAAGCUUUAUUGUAAGGGUAACUUAGUCAUAAAGCCUUAAAAAGCUGAUACCCAAUCUAGAGUAUAGCUACAUAGUGAAGCUACACUAAGAAUGUAAGUCAAGUAGCUUAGUAUGUUUAAAGCUUAUGGCAGCUGGCCCAAGAAUCAAGUGGUUAAUCACUAUCAAAUCUUGAGGAGUGGAGGUGUCCAGACCUCAUCUCCAGAGCUUGGUGUAUUUAGUGGCUCAUUAUUGGCAUGUCUCAUAAUUCCUGAAGUAAUACAGUGGACCCUUGGUUUUUGUUUGCCGGGUUUUCGUCAAAUUCGAUUUUUGAUGACUUUUUUCAUCAAAAUUUUGUCCCAGUUUUCGUCUGCCAUACCAAACGUGUCUGCCUGCCCGCGCUCACACAAAGCAUCCCACGCACGCAUUCUGAGUCAGUCUGGCUUUGUUUCUUGAAUGAUCAUUACCCUGCCCUUUUAUACAAAACAUUUUGUAACAAUCAAUUGUUUUUUGUGCUUGUUUAUCGAGUGCAACUGCUAAAUAAGCCACCAUGGGGCCAAAGAAAGUUCCGAGAAACACAAUAAAAUUGCUUCAGAGGAGGAAGAGAGGGGAGAAUAUGCCCUCUUCAGUGAUUAAGGACAUGUGUGCAAAUUAUUAUUAUUAUUAUAAUCAAGGGGGAAGCGCUAAACCCGGAGGAUUAUACAGCGCCUGGGGGGGGAUGUGGAAGGCAUUCAGGCUUAAUUUGGGGAACUGGAGCACAGAUCCAAUUCCCUAAAUUAAGAGCCCCUCACCAACAUCAAGGAACCUUCCUUGAGGGGACAUGUGUGCAAAGUGAAGUGAGUUGCAAAGUUUUUUGAAGAAAUAUCACCCUACCAAAGCUGUUGGAAGCUGUGUCUGCAACAUGUUCAAUGACAGUGCCUUGUCCCAUUUUAGGCAGGGGUACAGUGACUCUCAAACUGGUCCUAGUGCCAGUAAAAGACAAAGAAGGGAAGUAGCCAUGGAUAGGGCCUUGAUGCCUGAAGUCCUUAUGGAAGGGGAUUUCCCUUCUAAACAAUAACCUCUAGUCCCUCUCCCCUCUUCGCCAUCUUCCAUACUCCAACAAGAGUCUUCAAUAAAAGUAAAAGUUAUAUUUAACCCUUUAUCGGGGUGGGCCGAAAUAAUUCGGUAUUGAUUACAUGUUUUUGGCGCGUGUCAUACUUCGCGCCCCGCGCAGCCAGCUUCCCGUUCUUUAGUUCCAACCAAUCACAAGCCUUCCCUGAGUCUCUUCAGCUAAGUACAGUUCGCUUCUGCCGCCUUCCCAUUGGUUGAGAGAUCAAAAUAUAAACACUGGUGGCUUGGCUCCGCCCACACACGCAUUUUUCCCUCCACCCUUACUAAUCUACUCUUGGAUUAUACAUUCUACAAUGUCGGUAAGUACUGAUUGUUGUGUUUAGUGCUUACAUGAAUAGUUUAGGCAUAUUUUGAUAUAUACCUAAAGUCCGUGUGAAGCAUAAUAUGAGUGUAGCAUGCAGUUGAAAAAAGUGCAAGCAUUUUAUACCGAAUUAUUUCAGUCUUGCCCGAGUUUCCGGGAAUGUCCAAUUUUAGUCAAAUAAAUAUUUAUAAAAAAAUUUCAAUUGCAUAUAUGAACUCUGUAGUGGUCUGGAUCUAUACAGGAGGUUUCUAUUGUCCUUCCAGAUCAAUGAGAAGUUGUUUUAUGGGGAGCAGUCCACCAGCAGGUCGAGGUAUGUCUGCGUUUCUGAAGAGAGUGAUUCAGAAGCAGAGGUACAUGAACCAGAAUUGCUGGAUAGUGGUGAUGAAUACUUGCCACCGGAUGCACAGGUGUCAAGUGAUGAUGAGGAGGAAGAAAGGCCAGCCAAAAAACAGAAAUUAGUGAAGAAAAAGUAAGGUAUUACGAUUGCAACUAUUGCAGCCACUCGAAGAAAUUGGUCACAUCCUCAUUCCAGUGUUCUGUAUGCAAAGUAAAUCUGGAUAAAGAGUGAUAGAAAUUGCUUCAGCGACUACCAUACCAUCAAUUAGCAAUAUAGAAUAAUUGGUCAUCCAAAUGAAUCUCAGGAAUAUAGGGAUUGAAAGUUGCAUCCCUUUGCAAUUUGUCAUUGUUGAGAUUUGCUUCCUUUUUAUAUUUUUGUAACAAUUAAAAAUGUUUUGAUUCAAGUUCCAUUUAUGUUUUUUAUAUUGUCUGUUUGUAUAUUAAAUUUAAAAAAUUGUUUUGGUGUGUUUUAUUAACAAUUGCAAGUUUGCAACAUAAAAUUUUUUAAUCCCUUUGUCGGGCCCAGCCGAAUAUUUUCGGUCUUCGGAGAUUAGCAAUUGCUCGAAAACUAACCAUCAGAAAUCAAUUUAUAUGGGAUCAGUGACCUUGUAUUGAGUUACUCUAUCCACCAUAGGGAGUUCAGUUCGAAUUUCAAAUUUUCGGACCCCUUGCAUGAUAAAGGGUUAAUGUUCAUUUAUCCAUUUCAUUAGUCCUUUAUAUUUAUUUCUCAUUGUUUUCUGUAUGUAAAACUGUAGUUAUUCUCUAUAAAAUGUAUAUUUUGUUAAUACUUUCUGGAACGAAUUAAAGACGAAAACCAAAGUUCCACUGUAUCUCAAAACCAGUUACCCCAGCAGGCCUAAUGUAGUAAAUUCUCAUUAUCACUACUAGAUGUGCACUUUGUAGGUACUAUAAAUAUCAACUAAUGCCAUUUUAUGGGUCUUAUCUGUGGACUAAAACCUUCUGGAAGCACAUUAUUAUAAUCAAAAAGAAGCGCUAGACCUACCAGGGUCAUUUGGAAGUACAAGAAUACUGAUUACACCUCGACAAGUACAGCCCUUGUCUACUGAGAUCAGCCAGCUUGGUUAUUCUACGCAGACUGCCUCUCCAACUUCCUACUCGACUCAGCACACUUCGCCGUCCUCACUCAUCAUCCUCAUCCAUGGCUGGAGCAAUGUCAUACCACUGUGUCACCUUGUCUGAGUCCAAAAGCCCACAGUCCAGGAGUACCUGAUCAUACAUAAGUGUGGAAGUAUGCCAUCUACUGGCAUGGAAGACCUGCAGGAUUUGCAAAUAGCUUCCCAAACACCAGACUCAUUCUCCUGUGACAAUGUGACUUGUAAGAUGAGCAGUUGGCUCAACUUAUCUUAAAAUGACUUAGCUCAGCAUAAGCUUUAUAUAUGUAUUCAUUUCCUUAAGAUAUGCAGUUUGUCAUUAUCAGUUAUUGCCAGUAAGGAGGAGCCCAUCUCAUUUAGGAAUUUAUACCCUAUAUGGGUUUGUUAUUAGACCUCAAUUAUUAACGGAUUUCAUAUAUAGCGUGUUUGAAAUAACAGGGUAAAACUGUUAUUGUUAAGCACUGGCAUUACAAUUUAUUGUCUCUAUUGUAAUAUGGAUUGAGAAGAAGCAUUGAUGUGGACUGCUGAUACAACCUAGCAUCCUUUCAUAACCCACUCUCUCAUGGGCUGUCAAGGAUUUAAGAUUUUACAGUGGAUGAACCUCAUUCAUGUCAGUUUCUUUUGUCUUAAAUAGGGAGUGAUUUUAUUUAUUUAGAAAACUGGUUAGAUUUUAUUAUUAAGAAUUCAUGGAUAUUUAGGAUAUGUAUGAAUAUAUUUAUACCUGUGAUUUUUAUAUUUUGUCAACUACAGUUGAGUCAUAUAUAAAACUCAACCCCUAACUUUUCCCCUCAUAUUUAAGCUGAAGCAAUUUUUAUUGUAGCUUAAACAGGCUUAUGUGGUGUUUUCCACACCCUAAGCUAUAGCUACACAUAACGGCACAUUUAAUUGCUAGAACAUUAGAAUAAACUGUUAUGGAGUGCUUGUGUUAAGACAUCACUGAUGGCUCACAUUUAAAUACCCUUUCUCUGUCAAUUUGCAUUGUAGCUUUUGUGUACAUCUAACUCAAUUUUUGCAUGUUCUGUUCUCUUAAGUAUGAUUUUGUGUACUUUAUGAAUUAAGAUCACCUAUCUUUGCUAAAACAAAUUAUUUUGCAUGGAUCA